GACGAACGCUGGCGGCGUGCUUAACACAUGCAAGUCGAACGGAAAGGCCCUGCUUGCAGGGUGCUCGAGUGGCGAACGGGUGAGUAACACGUGGGUGAUCUGCCCCUUACUUUGGGAUAAGCCUGGGAAACUGGGUCUAAUACUGGAUAGGACCAUGCUGUAGGCGGUGUGGUGGAAAGAUUAGUUUCGGUAAGGGAUGAGCUCGCGGCCUAUCAGCUUGUUGGUGGGGUAAUGGCCUACCAAGGCGUCGACGGGUAGCCGGCCUGAGAGGGUGGACGGCCACAUUGGGACUGAGAUACGGCCCAGACUCCUACGGGAGGCAGCAGUGGGGAAUAUUGCACAAUGGGCGCAAGCCUGAUGCAGCGACGCCGCGUGGGGGAUGACGGCCUUCGGGUUGUAAACUCCUUUCAGCCAUGACGAAGCCCUUGUGGUGACGGUAGUGGGAGAAGAAGCACCGGCUAACUACGUG
rnacentral:rRNA from 1 species